AACGAACGCUGGCGGCAUGCCUAACACAUGCAAGUCGAACGAGACCAAGGCUUCGGCCUGAAGUCUAGUGGCGCACGGGUGCGUAACGCGUGGGAAUCUACCCUUGGGCUCGGAAUAACAGUUAGAAAUGACUGCUAAUACCGGAUGAUGACGUAAGUCCAAAGAUUUAUCGCCCAGGGAUGAGCCCGCGUAAGAUUAGCUUGUUGGUGAGGUAAAGGCUCACCAAGGCGACGAUCUUUAGCUGGUCUGAGAGGAUGAUCAGCCACACUGGGACUGAGACACGGCCCAGACUCCUACGGGAGGCAGCAGUGGGGAAUAUUGGACAAUGGGCGAAAGCCUGAUCCAGCAAUGCCGCGUGAGUGAUGAAGGCCUUAGGGUUGUAAAGCUCUUUUACCCGGGAUGAUAAUGACAGUACCGGAGAAUAAGCUCCGGCUAACUCCGUGCCAGCAGCCGCCGUAAC
rnacentral:rRNA from 1 species